AAUAACCAAAUGUAACACUGGGACUAAGGGUCAAUUUGUUAAUUUUUCUUACAUCUCCCCCCUAGGGGCCUAGGUAUCAUACACAUCGCCAAAAUAAAGAGCCUUGAAUAUUAGAAGAAAAGCACCUAGACCUAACAAAAUUAAGUGAAUACCCAAAAUUUUAGUCAUUUUA
rnacentral:antisense_RNA from 1 species